rnacentral:lncRNA from 1 species
UAUUAUCUCUGUUUUUUUCUCUCUUGAAAAUCCUAAUGUCAUCAAGAAACCAAAAUUCAAGAUCAUCUAUAAUCACUCCCGUUGAAAAACAAAUAGAGCAUCUCCAAUCUCAUUAUUACUCUCAUAAACUAUAAUCACUCCCGUUGAUCGAAACCUCUAAAUCUAGUUCACUACCGUCACGGAGGUUUGUAAUAUCAGUCAUCGAGCACCUGAACCCUAACCCUGAACCCUAACCCUAAUCUUGCUUUCUCUAUAGAUUUCUUCAAAUGAAAUCCAUAUUCCGACACCCUGAACCCUAACCCUAAUCUUGCUUUCUCUAUAGAUUUCUUCAAAUGAAAUCCAUAUUCCGAGAAACCCAAGGGUCCAAACCAAAUUCCUCUCCGAUCCAUUCCCCAUAUUCCGAGAAACCCCAAUGGUCCAAACACAAUUCCUCUCUGAUCCAUUCCCAACGAACUGAUCAGAGCUCUCCGAUAAUGCUGUGAUAGCAGUUAGAGCUUCGGUGGUUUCAUGAAGACCUUCACGACUCGAUCCGAAUUCGUACUUGAAACUUUCUGCCGUGUUCUGAAGGAAUUCCGAUCCGACUUACAGAAAGAAACUGAGCUGCCGGACGGUGAUAGAGCUCCCUACUUUGAUCAAAGUCGGCGCAUCGAUUGGCGACUUAAGGAGUGAUAAAAUCAACAACUGAUACCAUUUCAAUUUAUUGAACUCGUUGGAAGCUUUUCCUUUCAAUAGCUUAUCUGGGUUUAUUUUUUAGAUCUGCUUUUUAUUUUUAUUUUUUGAGUUAUUUAGUUGGACAACAAUUGUUCUUUGACAGAGAUGAAAUCGGAAGAAGAUGGUUUUAAAUUGUUAAGUUAUUUCAGAUCAAAUCGGGAGAUUUUUCAGAUCUGGUUUGGGAGAUCUAACUCUCUUCAUAUCC